UGGGCUUUUAAAUUUAUAAUUGGUCCAAUUUUAAUUUUGAAAGGAAAUAAAUAAAUAAUUAAUUUUUUUUAUUAAAAUAAAAAUUUUGGACCAAAAAUAAAUUUAAUGUAUUCAAUUUUAUCUAUGCAUUUUAAUCCAUUAAGCCUUAUUGAAAUUGGGCCUAAAACUAAGAUUCAUUAAGCCCAAAACUAUUUUUGGAUUUAAAAGCAAAAAAAUAAAAUUUUCUGCCCGAAGGAAAAAUUAUGAAACCAUAGGGACCUCCAUGAUAAAAACCAUGAAACCCUAAAAUCAUAUUUUUCUUUCUUUCUUCUUCCCCAGCCGCCAUCUCCACAAAGCACCAGCUGCUGUUUCCGGUCAGCCGCCGCUGUUCAGAGAUGCCAGCCGGUCUCCGACACAUCUCCGACGAGGAGCCACCAUCGCCGCGUCACCGGAAGGCGACCAAACCCGCGUGCAACUUGCUGCUCGUGCAGCGCGACCGCGCACGAUGGAAUGGCUGCCCCUGCGGGCGCGCUAGCUUUGUUAGCAGCGCUGCUGGUCGCGCGCUUCUGCUGCGCGUGGCUGCUGGCUUGCAGGGCGCGCCGCUGGCAGCAUGUGUUGGCCGCGCUGCUUGCUGCUUGUUGCCGCUGUCAAAAUUUCUGGCCUCUGUCGCUUUGAUAUGACAUUCGUGAUUAUUUUCCGUUGAUUUACAAAUUUCCUAGGCCAAUUUUGGCUUACAAAAUU
rnacentral:lncRNA from 1 species